GUACGGCGAGUGAGCGGCAACAGCUCAAAUUUGAAAGCUGGCCCUUUUAGGGUCCGCGUUGUAAUUUGUAGAGGAUGAUUCGGCGAGGGCUCCUGCCUAAGUCCCCUGGAACGGGGCGUCAUAGAGGGUGAGAAUCCCGUAUGCGGUAGGUUGCCUUAGCCAUGUGAAUCUCCUUCGACGAGUCGAGUUGUUUGGGAAUGCAGCUCUAAAUGGGAGGUAAAUUUCUUCUAAAGCUAAAUACUGGCCAGAGACCGAUAGCGCACAAGUAGAGUGAUCGAAAGAUGAAAAGCACUUUGGAAAGAGAGUUAAAAAGUACGUGAAAUUGUUGAAAGGGAAGCGCUUGCAACCAGACUUGUCCGCAGUUGCUCAGCCGGUCUCCUGACCGGCGUACUCUUCUGCGGCCAGGCCAGCAUCAGUUCGGGCGGUCGGAUAAAGGCCUCGGGAAUGUAGCUCCUCUCGGGGAGUGUUAUAGCCCGGGGUGGAAUGCGACCAGCCUGGACUGAGGAUCUCGCUUCGGCAAGGAUGCUGGCGUAAUGGUUGUAAGCGGCCCGUCUUGAA
rnacentral:rRNA from 1 species